rnacentral:rRNA from 1 species
GAAUGCCACAGAGGGUGAUAGCCCCGUACGGUGUUGACUCGAUACAGAGUCCUAACAUGGAGUCGAGUUGUUUGGGAAUGCAGCUCAAAUGGGUGGUAUGCUCCAUCUAAGGCUAAAUAUUUGCGAGAGACCGAUAGCGAACAAGUACUGUGAAGGAAAGAUGAAAAGAACUUUGAAAAGAGAGUGAAAUAGUACGUGAAAUUGUUGAAAUGGAAGGGUAGGCCGCUAACCAUGUAGGACCGUGUUUGGGGGGAAGAUAAAUGCUGUAGA